AAUGAGUCCUAAAACCAGGAACUAAGUUAGCAUGUUAGCUCUUCCUGUUCCCUCGUCCCAGAGUCAGUGUGUUUCUGGUUAAAUGUCUGAAAUAAGGUCUGUGGUUUUAACACAAGCUCAAGACAUUUUCAGGUUUUAUUCUCCGACAUAAAAUGGGUCAGUAAAUCCCCCACUCCUGAUGUUUGAAGCUUUUACGUGUCUUAAAAAAGGCGGUUGCUAACGAGUGUCUAAAUGAGACUACAGAGGUUGUCGGGGACGUUAACAUGAAAACCCAUCUACUCACCAGUCCACCUUUACAGCCUCGUUGUGUUUCUACUCACGCUCUUUCAAACUC